rnacentral:lncRNA from 1 species
AGCUUUGGGUUUCGGUUCGGUUUCGUCAUAUCCACUGAACCAUCGUCAAGCGUGGUACUGGUGUGAAGUACGAUUGCGCUAAACUCGUGCUGGCACAACCUCAGGCUGCGUCAUCAAUCAGCUGGUUCGGUCUUUCGUCACUAAUCAUGUGUUAUAAACAAACCAGUUCCAAGAUGAGUCAAACCCCAAGGCCACCCUUCCGACGAAUUCUUCCGAUUGGGGAGGUAAUCAGACCAAGGCUUCCAAGAUGGAUCACAUCAACACCUAGAGUGAACCUGAACAUCAAUUGGUCAAAGUUUGCCGAGUUGAGCAAUGGAGACGCUCCAUUGCAACCGGUAUGAAACUUAUGAAAAUUCGGUUCGUGGACAAAACUGAGUCUUCGACCUCUUGUACAUUUGCGGUAUGUAAUUUUAGUUUUUAAAUAUAAUUUUUUUCCAUCAUCAACUAAUUGUUUGCUAAGCUGAGCUGCUUCGUGCAAUUCUACAUUUUAAGAUUCAGCCUGUGCAAUGUUAAGUUUAUUGAUUUUCUAACGUGCAAUUCAAAGGUUAAAUUCUUAUUUUCGGGUGCAAUUUAGGUUUCGAUUAAAAACUGUUUUUGGAAAUCGUGCAAUCAGCUUCCUCUUUUGGUUGUUUCAAACCGCUCUUCAAGCGGAACCCUGAAUGGCUUUCGCUUCAGGUCUCGUGCAAUAAAUGUGAUAACAAAAUGAGAGAGUAUGUGAUAUUAUGUGAUUUUUCUGAACUGGAGCAAAAGUAUCUAAAUGUGAUCGAGAUACUUGUGAUAUUGUAGGCCAAGUGCAAUAAGUCUUUUUCUGAUUUGUGUACAUUAUCAGACACCUCUUAAUUUGCUCAAGCUUUAAUUUUUCCGGACAUGAUGCGCCCAUUUUUGGGUCUCGAAACAUUUUUGCCACAAAUUUGUAAUUCAUUUACUUGAUUCCUGCAUUUUAAAUAGAAAUAUUUAAGAUCACAAAAUUGGGCUCUUCAUGUUCUCGACUUAGGUAGGUAUAUGAUAGGUAAUCAAUCAAUGACUAUCCAAUUUGGAAAGUUGAUCGCAAUUGCUGAAGCUUUAAUAGUUUUAAGGAGUAUAAAUGAAGAUGUGUAUUACUGUAAGUGUACUUAAAAAAUAUAGGCCGAACAGUGUCAAUCAAUUUGUACAUAAAUGCGUUAAAUUAGGCUUAAAAUCUCGCGCACUUUACUGCACCGUAUAAUUAGACCCAGCACUUUUCCAGCACCUCUAUGCAUGUAACUUUAAAAGUGCUCAUAAAGUUUUGUGAUAGGUUUACGUACAGCUUUUCUUAUUAUUUUAUGUAUAUUUUCUGUGAUAUCAGCUUAACAAAAUGAUUUCGUUGUUGUGUUUGUUUACCUUUCUCUGUUACUAUAAGUUGUAAAAAGUAGGAUUUGCAUUAGGUUUGUGUGUGUUUUUUUGUAGCUUUAGGUGAUUCACUCCCAUGAUCUUUCACUAGGUUUAGGUUUAUAAUCGUUUGGUAUUUGUAGGUUUAAGUUUGUAAUCAUUGUAGCGUUUUGAAAAUAAAUGACUUUUAAAAAC